rnacentral:rRNA from 1 species
UACGGGGGGGCAAGCGUUGUUCGGAAUUACUGGGCGUAAAGCGCGCGUAGGCGGCUUUGCAAGUCGGGUGUGAAAUCCCCAGGCUUAACCUGGGAACUGCAUUCGAGACUGCAUUGCUAGAGUAUGGGAGAGGAAGUGGAAUUCCGGUGUAGCGGUGAAAUGCGUAGAUAUACGGAAGGAACAUCAGUGGCGAAAGCGAACUUCCUGGACCAAUACUGACGCUCAUGUGCGAAAGCGUUGGGAGCAAACAGG